GGCUGGAAAAUGACGAGACUUUUGCCGUUCACCUUUUUUCUGAUUUUUGCCAAUUCUCCAGGCUGGGCAAGAGAAAGACAUUAUUACAUUGGCAUUAGGGAAUGGACAUGGAACUAUGCUCCAACUGGUAAAAACAUAAUCAAUAGAAAAUUAAUUUCAGAAGAUAAUGAAUUUCGUUCGUAUAUCUAUCUAGAAAGAGGCCCUCAGAGGAUAGGUCGAAUAUAUAAGAAAGCCAUGUAUGUUCAGUACACGGAUGAAAGUUAUCAAAGGUGUGUGGAAAAGCCAUCCUGGCUGGGAUUUUUGGGUCCUAUUCUGAAGGGAGAGGUUGGAGAUGUAAUCGUUGUGCAUAUGAAAAACUUUGCCUCAAGACGCUACACUAUGCAUCCCCACGGAGCGACUUAUACUAAGGAAAAUGAAGGUGCUCUGUAUCCUGACAAUACCUAUGGGCCACAGAAGAAAGACGAUGGAGUGUCACCUGGACAGAACUGCACUUACAGGUGGUCCAUAACACCAGAGCAAGGGCCUGCAGAUGGGGACCAUAAUUGUGUCACCAGAAUUUACCACUCACACUUCGAUACUGCGAAGGAUGUAGCCUCUGGGCUCGUGGGACCCCUGAUAACUUGUAGGAAAGGGAGCCUGAAUGGAGACACUGAAAAAAAUACUGAUCGCUCAUUUGUUGUAUUGUUUUAUGCAGUAGAUGAAAACAAGAGUUGGUAUCUGGAUGAAAACAUCCAUACCUAUUGUUAUGAACCUGACAAGGUUAAUAAAACUGAUCCAGGCUUCAAGGAGAGCAACAAAAUGUAUUCAAUGAAUGGAUUCAUGUUUGGAAACAUGCCAAACAUCACCAUGUGUGUGGAAGACAGAGUGCAUUGGCAUUUUUUUGGAAUAGGUGGUCUGGAUGAUACACAUUCUAUCUUUCUUCAUGGACAGACUUUGCUCUACCUGCGUCACAGAAUGGAUACUUUCAGGAUUUUUGCCGCUUCAAUGCUUGAUGCCCGCAUGGUGGCAAAAAGUGUUGGGGAAUGGUUACUCAGCUGUCAAGUUAACAAGCACGCGAAUGCUGGCAUGAAGGCCUAUUUCAAGAUAAAUGAUUGUGGAAAGCGCUCACAAGAUAAUGUUAAUGGGACAAGUGUUAAGAACUACUACAUUGCUGCUGAAGAAGUGAUUUGGAAUUAUGCGCCAUCUGGCAUUAACUAUUAUACCAACAAAAGCUUAACAGCUCCUGGGAGUGAAUCAGCACCUUAUUUUAUUCGAGGUCCCAACAGAAUUGGAGGAACUUAUGUGAAGUUGCAAUACCGAGCAUAUACAGAUGAUUCAUUCCUAACAAAGAAAGCAAGACUUCCUGAAGAAAGACAUCUUGGAAUUAUGGGCCCUGUCAUUAAAACAGAAGUGGGAGACACCAUCUUGGUCACUAUCCUCAACAGAGCUAGCUAUCCCGUCAGCAUUCAGCCUCACUGCGUGAGGUUCUCCAAGAGCAAUGAAGGAUCACGCUACAUGACCCUCAGUGGAAGUACACCUCCACCUUCUUCAAGUAUACAACCCGGGGAAAAUUUUACCUAUGAAUGGACUGUUCCAGAAACUGUGGGUCCGACUUCUGCCGAUCCAGUUUGCUUGACCUGCCUAUACUACUCUGCCUUGGACAUGGUUAAAGAAGUCACCAGUGGGCUGACUGGGCCACUUCUAGUGUGUAGGAAAGGAAGUCUUCAUGCAGAUGGUAGACUGAAAGGUGUAGACAGGGAAUUCUACCUGCUACCUACAAUAUAUGAUGAGAACCUAAGCCUGUACUUGGAUGAAAAUAUUAGAAAAUUUGCAGGAAACCCCCGCCAAGUGAAUAAGGAUGAUCCAGACUUCCAAGCAUCUAACAAAAUGUCCUCCAUAAAUGGAUACAUGUUCGGAAAUCUACCAGGACUUGAUAUGUGCCUAGGUGACAAGAUUUCAUGGCAUGUCCUCAGUGUGGGGACAGAGGAAGAUAUGCAUGGGAUAUAUUUUUCAGGAAACACUUAUGUCUCUUUAGGAGGGAGGAAAGACACUGUAAAUGUGAUUCCACAAACUUCCUGGACUCUUUUUAUGACAGCAGAUUCCUCAGGGGAAUUUGAUGUCGCUUGUCUCGCAACAGACCACUAUACAGGUGGCAUGAAAAAUAAAUACCGAGUGAAACAAUGCAACAAGCCUUUUAAGGACAACACACAUUAUAAGAACAAGGUUUACUACAUUGCAGCUGUGGAAGUUGAAUGGGAUUAUGCUCCCAGUAAGAAGUGGGAAAAGGAACUGCAUUACUUACAAGGAAAAAAUAAGACAGAUAUAUAUUUGGAUAAAGUCUAUGGUUGGUAUCUUGGUUCCAAAUACAAGAAAGUUAUUUACAUUCAGUUCACUGAUAGCUCCUUCAAGACUCCAAAACCAAGAACGGAGGAAGAUAAACAUCUGGAUAUCCUAGGCCCACUAAUUCAGGUAAACGUCUGGGAUACAGUUACAGUUGUCUUUAAAAACACAGCCAACAGGUCUUAUUCUAUACAUGCUCACGGAGUGAAAACAGAUUAUUCCACUGUUAUUCCAACAAAACCAGGGGAAAUAAGAACAUAUAAGUGGAAAAUCCCUGAAAGAUCUGGACCUACCCAAAAUGACUCUGUUUGCAUACCCUGGGUUUACUACUCAACUGUGAAUCCAGUUAAGGAUUUCUACAGUGGAUUAAUUGGACCUUUGAUAGUAUGUCGCCAAAACACCACCACCAACUCUGCUGCUAGCCAUAUUCUUAACCUAGUUCUUUCUUUUAUUAUUUUUAAUGAGAAUAAAUCCUGGUACUUCGAUGAAAACAUCAAAAAGUAUUCUCCACAUCCAGAGGAAGUGGAUAAAGAAGAUCCAGAAUUUAUUUUAAGCAACCAAAUGCAUGCAAUUAAUGGAAGACUUUAUGGAAACAACCAAGGUCUGGUUAUGCAUGUUGGAGAUACAGUGAACUGGUAUUUGAUUGGCUUGGGGAGUAGUGUAGAUGUCCACACUGCUCACUUCCAUGGCCACAGCUUCAAAUAUAAGGGCGCUGGAUUUUUUCGCUCAGAUGUUUACGACCUUGUUCCUGGAACAUUCAAAACUCUUCAAAUGUAUCCAAAAGAUGCCGGGACUUGGUUAUUCCACUGUCAUCUUGGUGAACACCUUGGUGCUGGAAUGGAAAGCACCUACACUGUUUUACCGAGAGAAGGUAAAGGUGAUUAAGGGGCUUGAUGAAUGUUCUUGUGACCACGGCGGCUUAAUGUAUCUAUAGAAGCACAAAAGACUUCAUGAAGAGAUUUUGAUGAGCCUACAUCAAUGUUACUAGCAUAGAAGAAAACUGAAAACUCAAGCCUGCAAAGGAAUGUUGGAGGAGUUAAAUUAAAUUGUGAAUGUAAU